rnacentral:tRNA from 1 species
ACCCCUGUAGCUCAGCGGAUAGAGCGCGGCCCUGCGGAGGCUGAGGCUUGGGUUCAAUUCCCAACAGGGGUA